AAUGAACGCUGGCGGCGUGCCUAAUACAUGCAAGUCGAACGAGGUGCUUUUGUAGCAAUACGAGAGUAUCCUAGUGGCGAAUGGGUGAGUAACGCGUGGGUGACCUACCCCAAAGUGUGGGAUAACAGUCCGAAAGGAUUGCUAAUACCGCAUGUGGUUAUUGGAUUUAGAAACUGAUAACUAAAGCAGUAAUGCGCUUUGGGAGGGGCCUGCGUCCCAUCAGCUAGUUGGUGAGGUAACGGCUCACCAAGGCGACGACGGGUAGGGGACCUGAGAGGGUGGCCCCCCACAAUGGAACUGAAACACGGUCCAUACACCUACGGGUGGCAGCAGUAGGGAAUAUUGCUCAAUGGGCGAAAGCCUGAAGCAGCAACGCCGCGUGUGCGAUGAAGGCCUUCGGGUCGUAAAGCACUUUUCUAAGAGAUGAGAAAGGACAGUAUCUUAGGAAUAAGUCUCGGCUAACUACGUGCCAGCAGCCGCAGUAA
rnacentral:rRNA from 1 species